AGCGAACGCUAGCGGCAGGCCUAACACAUGCAAGUCGAACGGAUCCUUCGGGAUUAGUGGCGGACGGGUGAGUAACACGUGGGAACGUGCCCUUUGGUUCGGAACAACUCAGGGAAACUUGAGCUAAUACCGGAUGUGCCCUUCGGGGGAAAGAUUUAUCGCCAUUGGAGCGGCCCGCGUCUGAUUAGCUAGUUGGUGAGGUAACGGCCCACCAAGGCGACGAUCAGUAGCUGGUCUGAGAGGAUGAUCAGCCACACUGGGACUGAGACACGGCCCAGACUCCUACGGGAGGCAGCAGUGGGGAAUCUUGCGCAAUGGGCGAAAGCCUGACGCAGCCAUGCCGCGUGAAUGAUGAAGGUCUUAGGAUUGUAAAAUUCUUUCAGCGGGGACGAUAAUGACGGUACCCGCAGAAGAAGCUCCGGCUAACUUCGUG
rnacentral:rRNA from 1 species